CGGCGGACGGGUGAGUAACACGUGGAUAACCUACCUAUAAGACUGGGAUAACUUCGGGAAACCGGAGCUAAUACCGGAUAAUACAUUGAACCGUAUGGUUCAAUAGUGAAAGACGGUUUUGCUGUCACUUAUAGAUGGAUCCGCGCCGCAUUAGCUAGUUGGUAAGGUAACGGCUUACCAAGGCAACGAUGCGUAGCCGACCUGAGAGGGUGAUCGGCCACACUGGAACUGAGACACGGUCCAG
rnacentral:rRNA from 1 species